AUUGAACGCUGGCGGCAGGCCUAACACAUGCAAGUCGAGCGGAUGAAGGGAGCUUGCUCCUGGAUUCAGCGGCGGACGGGUGAGUAAUGCCUAGGAAUCUGCCUGGUAGUGGGGGAUAACGUCCGGAGACGGGCGCUAAUACCGCAUACGUCCUGAGGGAGAAAGUGGGGGAUCUUCGGACCUCACGCUAUCAGAUGAGCCUAGGUCGGAUUAGCUAGUUGGUGGGGUAAAGGCCUACCAAGGCGACGAUCCGUAACUGGUCUGAGAGGAUGAUCAGUCACACUGGAACUGAGACACGGUCCAGACUCCUACGGGAGGCAGCAGUGGGGAAUAUUGGACAAUGGGCGAAAGCCUGAUCCAGCCAUGCCGCGUGUGUGAAGAGGGUCUUCGGAUUGUAAAGCACUUUAAGUUGGGAGGAAGGGCAGUAAGUUAAUACCUUGCUGUUUUGACGUUACCAACAGAAUAAGCACCGGCUAACUUCGUG
rnacentral:rRNA from 1 species